GAAGUGAAUAGAAGAAAAGGUCUUUCUCCGAUGGGAGAAAGGUAAUAGGGAAGACCGGUUGGAAUCCGGCGCGGCCCCGCCACUGUAUUUGGGGAGGACGGCUCUUAAUGCCACUGUUUUCGCAAGAAAAUGGGAAGGCGAGCCUGACGAUGACCCAUAAGCCAGGAGACCUGCCUUUUCUGUUUACUUACG
rfam:Thermoactinomyces sp. Gus2-1 c1, whole genome shotgun sequence.